rnacentral:tRNA from 1 species
CAGAGAUAAGCCAUAGUGGUAAGGUGUUACUUUUGGGUAGUAAAGAUAGUUAGUUCGACUCUAACAUCUCUGA